rnacentral:rRNA from 1 species
UGGGGAAUCUUCGGCAAUGGGGGCAACCCUGACCGAGCAACGCCGCGUGAGUGAAGAAGGUUUUCGGAUCGUAAAGCUCUGUUGUAAGAGAAGAACGAGUGUGAGAGUGGAAAGUUCACACUGUGACGGUAACUUACCAGAAAGGGACGGCUAACUACGUGCCAGCAGCCGCGGUAAUACGUAGGCCCCGAGCGUUAUCCGGAUUUAUUGGGCGUAAAGCGAGCGCAGGCGGUUAGAUAAGUCUGAAGUUAAAGGCUGUGGCUUAACCAUAGUACGCUUUGGAAACUGUUUAACUUGAGUGCAGAAGGGGAGAGUGGAAUUCCAUGUGUAGCGGUGAAAUGCGUAGAUAUAUGGAGGAACACCGGUGGCGAAAGCGGCUCUCUGGUCUGUAACUGACGCUGAGGCUCGAAAGCGUGGGGAGCAAACAGGAUUAGAUACCCUGGUAGUCCACGCCGUAAACGAUGAGUGCUAGGUGUUGGGUCCUUUCCGGGACUCAGUGCCGCAGCUAACGCAUUAAGCACUCCGCCUGGGGAGUACGACCGCAAGGUUG